UGAAAAAUGUCUUUUUUGUCAACAGCAUCCUCUAUCUAGCGCUGGUAAUUUGAGCAGAGCUGACCCACACACUGUAGCACCUGAAAGCAGUGAUACCCCGAUCGCCCCCUACGCUUCGGAACUUCUGUAGGGAACGUGUCAUAGUCCACCGCUACCUAAAAACAAGGACGCUGAAACUUCACCGUGUAUCGUUAAUAUGCAUCAUUUUAGUUUCUUUAUUACACAGUGUAAUCACUGCAGGUAUCUAAUGUUGUCUCACGUGUAGAUUCAACUGAUGACCUGAAGGACAGUCUGCCAGUACAAGUCCCUUUGAAGGGUGUGCACCUUUCACCGGAUGCUGUAACUGCUCUCCACGAGAGGUUACGGGAAUUGGAAAACAAGCUCCAACGUACACAGAGAAGCUUGGUACUAGCACAGCGGCAGAAAAACAAAAUAGUGCCAGAAAAAUCAACCUUCUGAAACAAGUUUAACACUUCUUAGCUCCUGACUGUUGUAGUCCUUAGAAAGGCCAUCAAAUGGAAAACAGCAUUGGUCGCCAAGCACUAUACAGAAAGCCCUGAAAGUGUGACUGCCGUGUGGUGCCCGCGGAUAGGCUCUUGUGAAGGAACUUUGCAUACCUCUUCCAGCCGAACGCACUCUACAAGGCACUUAGAAAACAACAAGUUCUCUUCAGGUGUGCUUCACGACAUCCUGCACUGCCUUUUUCUGAAAGUAAAGUUCAUGGAUGACCACGAGAGGCAUGCAAUCUUAAAGUUUGAUGAAAUCCAACUAACAGCAGGCCUAGCUCUUGAUCAGUCAACCAGCGUGGUAAUUGGCAGGCCUACAAUACCUCUAGCCGAUGGGACGCUGCCGGAAGACACUUUGGCUACGCAUGGACUUGUUUUUAUGUUAGGAAGUGUGACCACACGUUGGAACCAGACAGUCGCAUAUCACUUCACAGGGAAUUUUUUUUUAGUUCUGGUGCUGUGAAGAAAGUUAUCUUAGACAUAAUUGGAAACUGCUAAAAAAGUUCUAAUAACGUAUACGCAGUUGACAGUGACAUGGCAGGUGGCAACCAAGUCAUUUGGAAAGAGUUUGGCAUAUUUAUCGGUAAGCACUGCCAAUCAACUGUCUCAUGCCCGCACUCCUGUGAUGCAAGUCGCAGGUUGUAUUUGAUUUGCAGAUGUUGCGCAUCUCUCGAAGAACCUUCGCAACCAUUUCACAAGAGGGCAAUCCUUUCUUUUGCCAGAUGACAUAGUGGCUAAGGAUAAGUUCCCUUCAAAUGAGGUUAAGAUUGAGCACGUGAAGGCUCUUGUGCAGAUUGAUGCUACUCUUGAAUUGAAUCUUGCACCUCACUUGAAGCCAGCUUGUUUAGAGCCAGGACAUUUCGAAAAAAAUGAAAGUAGGUCUCCCCUAUUCAUUUUUUAACCAUAAUACAGUCACUGCCAUUCGUUUUCUAGUUCAAACAGGAGACCUCCCCAUGGAAGCCCUCACAAGAGCCUGGUUUUUUGAAGCCAUUUUAUUAUUACUUAAAUUAAUGACAUCAAGAACGACAAAGCUUGCCCUCAGCAAGCUUGAUGAGCAGAA